rnacentral:rRNA from 1 species
CUACGGGACGCUGCAGUGAGGAAUAUUGCACAAUGGGGGGAACCCUGAUGCAGCAACGCCGCGUGGAGGAUGACGCAUUUCGGUGUGUAAACUCCUUUUAUAUGCCAAGAAAAUGACGGUAGCAUAUGAAUAAGCACCGGCUAACUCCGUGCCAGCAGCCGCGGUAAUACGGAGGGUGCAAGCGUUACUCGGAAUCACUGGGCGUAAAGGACGCGUAGGCGGGUUGGAAAGUCAGGUGUGAAAUCCUACAGCUUAACUGUAGAACUGCACUUGAAACUUCUAAUCUAGAGUAUGGGAGGGGGAGAUGGAAUUAGUGGUGUAGGGGUAAAAUCCGUAGAUAUCACUAGGAAUACCUAAAGCGAAGGCGAUCUCCUGGAACAUUACUGACGCUAAGGCGUGAAAGCGUGGGGAGCAAACAGGAUUAGAUACCCCCGAGUC